GUAGGUGGCAAGCGUUGUCCGGAAUUAUUGGGCGUAAAGCGCGCGCAGGCGGUUCUUUAAGUCUGAUGUGAAAGCCCACGGCUCAACCGUGGAGGGUCAUUGGAAACUGGAGAACUUGAGUACAGAAGAGGAAAGCGGAAUUCCACGUGUAGCGGUGAAAUGCGUAGAGAUGUGGAGGAACACCAGUGGCGAAGGCGGCUUUCUGGUCUGUAACUGACGCCGAGGCGCGAAAGCGUGGGGAGCAAACAGGGAUUAGAUACCCUGGUAGUCCACGCCGUAAACGAUGAGUGCUAAGUGUUAGGGGGGUUUCCGCCCCCUUAGUGCUGCAGCUAACGCAUUAAGCACUCCGCCUGGGGAGUACGGCCGCAAGGCUG
rnacentral:rRNA from 1 species